GGAGUCUGUAAUGUUGGUCCCUGUGCACCCUGAGCAGCGCUCCGUCCAGCCGGGCAGAAACAGGAGUCUCAACACAGAGUUCCGACCUGUGCGCUGAGCCCUGGGUAAGGCGCGGCCACAAGAAGUCCUUCCAGGAUUUGGUCUGACACCUCAAGCAUCGAAAGGUGAAUGAUUCUCCAGGACCCCAGCUUUCAUGGAGCUUGUCCUGGACUAAGAAGAGUUGGAUGGAAUGGGGCUGGUUACUGGGAAGGGCCUGCAUGGUCUCCACACGAGGCAUUAGUCGCAGGCUCACCUUUGUCUUUCCCCGUCAUUUAAAUUCUCAGGUCAUCUGAGGUCCAGGGAUCUGAGGGCUCUGUAGAUGUGUCAGUCUGAUAACCUGAUUCACACUCUGGAACCUACAGAGUGAAAGGAGAGAACCAAUUCCCAUGAGUUUUCCCUAUCCUCUGUAUGUUAUGGUCUGCAUGUUCAUACAGUCACAAAUACACAAAAUAAAUAAUAAAAAGAAUGGUA